rnacentral:rRNA from 1 species
GAUGAACGCUGGCGGCGUGCCUAAUACAUGCAAGUCGAGCGAACGGACGCGAAGCUUGCUUUUCUGAUGUUAGCGGCGGACGGGUGAGUAACACGUGGAUAACCUACCUAUAAGACUGGGAUAACUUCGGGAAACCGGAGAUAAUACCGGAUAAUAUUUUGAACCGCAUGGUUCAAAGGUGAAAGACGGUCUUGCUGUCACUAAUCGCUGGAUCCGCGCUGCAUUAGCUAGUUGGUAAGGUAACGGCGUAUCAAGGCAACGAUGCAUAGCCGACCGGAGAGGGGGAUCGGCCACACGGGAACGGAGACAGGGUCCAGACUCCUACGGUAGGCAGCAGUAGGCAACCGGCCGCAAUGGUCGAAAGCCUGGCGGAGCAACGCCGCGUGAGUGAUGAAGGUCUUCGGAUCGUAAAACUCUGUUAUUAGUGAAGAACAUAUGUGUAAUGAACUGUGCACAUCGUGACGGUACCUAAUCAGAAAGCCACGGCUAACUACGUG